rnacentral:rRNA from 1 species
CCUACGGGAGGCAGCAGUGGGGAAUCUUGCACAAUGGAGGAAACUCUGAUGCAGCGAUGCCGCGUGAGUGAAGAAGGCCUUUGGGUUGUAAAGCUCUUUUGUAGGGGAAGAUAAUGACUGUACCCUAAGAAUAAGGUCCGGCUAACUUCGUGCCAGCAGCCGCGGUAAUACGAAGGGACCUAGCGUAGUUCGGAAUUACUGGGCGUAAAGCGCGCGUAGGCCGUUGAGUUAGUUAAUUGUGAAAUCCCAAAGCUUAACUUUGGAACUGCAAUUAAAACUACUCGACUAGAGUUUGAUAGAGGAAAGCGGAAUACAUAGUGUAGAGGUGAAAUUCGUAAAUAUUAUGUAGAACACCAGUUGCGAAGGCGGCUUUCUGGAUCCACACUGACGCUGAGGCGCGAAAGUAUGGGUAGCAAAGAGGAUUAGAUACCCUCGUAGUCCAUACCAUAAACGAUGAUUGCUAGAUGUUGGAAAUUUAUUUUCAGUAUCGCAGCUAACGCAUUAAGCAAUCCGCCUGGGGAGUACGACCGCAAGGUUAAAACUCAAAGAUAUAGCGNGNGAGAGNGACGACGACGACGACGGAGGAGAG